UACGUAGGGGGCAAGCGUUGUCCGGAAUCAUUGGGCGUAAAGAGCGUGUAGGCGGCCCGAUAAGUCCGCUGUGAAAGUCCAGGGCUCAACCCUGGAAUGCCGGUGGAUACUGUCGGGCUCGAAUCCGGAAGAGGUGAGUGGAAUUCCUGGUGUAGCGGUGGAAUGCGCAGAUAUCAGGAAGAACACCAACGGCGAAGGCAGCUCGCUGGGACGGAACUGACGCUGAGACGCGAAAGCGUGGGGAGCGAACAGG
rnacentral:rRNA from 1 species